GGCGCGGUACGCAAAACGGAAUAGCGACGAGACUUAAAAUCUCGUGAUUGUGGGUUCGAAUCCCACUCGCGCUU
rnacentral:tRNA from 1 species